rnacentral:rRNA from 1 species
CCCUUAGAUGUUCUGGGCUGCACGCGCGCUACACUGAUGCGCUCAACGAGUUUUAACCUUGCCUGGAAAGGUUGGGUAAUCUUUUUAAAACGCAUCGUGAUGGGGAUAGAUUAUUGCAAUUAUUAAUCUUCAACGAGGAAUUCCUAGUAAGCGCGAGUCAUCAGCUCGUGCUGAUUACGUCCCUGCCCUUUGUACACACCGCCCGUCGCUCCUACCGAUUUAGUGAUCCGGUGAAUAAUUCGGACUGCGGCAUUGACCGGUUCCCGAUCGUUGCUGCGGAAAGUUUAGUGAACCUUAUCACUUAGAGGAAGGAGAAGUCGUAACA